rnacentral:rRNA from 1 species
CCUACGGGAGGCAGCAGUAGGGAAUAUUGCUCAAUGGACGAGACUCUGAAGCAGCAACGCCGCGUGAAGGAUGAAGGUUUUAGGGUUGUAAACUCCUUUUGUUAGGGAAGAUUAUUACAGUAUCUAACUAGUAUUCACCGUCUAACUCCGUGCCAGCAGCCCCGGUAAUACGGAGGGUGCAAGGGUUACUCGGAUUCACUGGGCGUAAAGAGCGCGUAGGCGGGGUAAUAAGUCAGAUGUGAAAGCCUGUAGCUUAACCACAGAAUUGCAGUUGAAACUGUUAGUCUGGAGUGCGGGAGAGGUAGGUGGAAUUCUUGGUGUAGGGGUAAAAUGCGUAGAUAUCAAGAGGAAUACUCAUUGCGAAGGCGACUUGCUGGAAUAUAACUGACGCUGAUGCACGAAAGUGUGGGGAGCAAACAGGAUUAGAUACCCUUGUAGUC